rnacentral:pre_miRNA from 1 species
GUAGUACUCCCUCCGUCCGGAAAUACUUGUCAUCAAAAUGGAUUAAAGGAGAUGUAUCUAGACGUAUUUUAGUUCUAGAUACAUCCCUUUUCAUCCAUUUUGAUGACAACUAUUUUCGGACGGAGGGAGUAUUAC